rnacentral:rRNA from 1 species
GACGAACGCUGGCGGCGUGCUUAACACAUGCAAGUCGAACGGAAAGGCCCUUCGGGGUACUCGAGUGGCGAACGGGUGAGUAACACGUGGGUGAUCUGCCCUGCACUUUGGGAUAAGCCUGGGAAACUGGGUCUAAUACCGAAUAGGACCGCAUGCUUCAUGGUGUGUGGUGGAAAGCUUUUGCGGUGUGGGAUGGGCCCGCGGCCUAUCAGCUUGUUGGUGGGGUAGUGGCCUACCAAGGCGACGACGGGUAGCCGGCCUGAGAGGGUGACCGGCCACGCUGGGACUGAGAUACGGCCCAGACUCCUACGGGAGGCAGCAGUGGGGAAUAUUGCACAAUGGGCGCAAGCCUGAUGCAGCGACGCCGCGUGAGGGAUGACGGCCUUCGGGUUGUAAACCUCUUUCAGCAGGGACGAAGCGCAAGUGACGGUACCUGCAGAAGAAGGACCGGCCAACUACGUGCCAGCCGCCGCCGUAA